AUCAAUUGAUACUCCCCUAGUAGCGGCGAGCGAACGGGGACCAGCCGAGCCGUGAGUGUGAAUAGAACCUGUUGGGAAGCAGGACCAUAGAGGGUGACAGUCCCGUAUAUGAAGCAUGAUCGGACGUAUUAAGUAGGGCGGAACACGUGAAAUUCUGUCUGAAGAUCGGAGGACCACCUUCGAAGGCUAAGUACUCCUUGCUGACCGAUAGUGAACCAGUACCGUGAGGGAAAGGUGAAAAGCACCCCGACGAGGGGAGUGAAACAGUACCUGAAACCGGACGCCUACAAGCAGUCGGAGGGGCCUUGAGCCCUGACGGCGUACCUUUUGUAUAAUGGGUCAUCGACUUGGUCUCACGAGCAAGCUUAAGCCGUUAGGUGUAGGCGUAGCGAAAGCGAGUCUUAAUAGGGCGUUUAGUCGCUGGGUAUAGACCCGAAACCGGGCGAUCUAUCCAUGGCCAGGUUGAAGGUGCCGUAACAGGCACUGGAGGACCGAACCCACCUAUGUUGAAAAAUGGGGGGAUGAGCUGUGGCUCGGAGUGAAAGGCUAAUCAAGCCCGGAGAUAGCUGGUUCUCCUCGAAAACUAUUUAGGUAGUGCCUCGCGUUUGACUGCUGGGGGUAGAGCACUGUGUCGGCUAGGGGGUCAUCCCGACUUACCAACCCGAUGC
rnacentral:rRNA from 1 species